rnacentral:rRNA from 1 species
CCUACGGGAGGCUGCAGUGGGGAAUAUUGGACAAUGGGGGGAACCCUGAUCCAGCCAUGCCGCGUGUGUGAAGAAGGCCCUCGGGUUGUAAAGCACUUUCAGUGAGGAAGAACGCCUGGUGGUUAAUACCCAUCAGGAAAGACAUCACUCACAGAAGAAGCACCGGCUAACUCCGUGCCAGCAGCCGCGGUAAUACGGAGGGUGCGAGCGUUAAUCGGAAUUACUGGGCGUAAAGCGCGCGUAGGUGGCUUGAUAAGCCGGUUGUGAAAGCCCCGGGCUCAACCUGGGAACGGCAUCCGGAACUGUCAAGCUAGAGUGCAGGAGAGGAAGGUAGAAUUCCCGGUGUAGCGGUGAAAUGCGUAGAGAUCGGGAGGAAUACCAGUGGCGAAGGCGGCCUUCUGGACUGACACUGACACUGGGGUGCGAAAGCGUGGGUAGCAAACAGGAUUAGAUACCCUAGUAGUC